rnacentral:rRNA from 1 species
UGAAUUCCUCAUGUCCCAGCAAUGUUUACGUGGGUAUGAGAGACAAUUAAUGUAGAUUAAUAAUCGGUAUGGGCUUGCAAGGAUGUGUAGUUUACUCUGAAGAAAUUUCGGUCGUGUCUCAAUAAUCCACGCUGCUUACCACUUAAACGUUUUGUGUCAUUGAAUUAAUGGAGAAAUGAAUUUCGAUUCCUUACUGUUGUUAUGCGGUAUUCGAAUUAAUGACUUAAGAGGGACCAUCGGGGGGCAUGUGUAUUCAUGCGCGAGAGGGUGAAAUUCAUGGACCGCAGCGAGACGGCAUACAGCGAAAGCAUUUUCCAAGAAUGUCUUCAUUAAUCCAGACCGAAAAGUCAGAGGUUCGAAGGCGAUUAGAUACCUCCGUAGUUUUGACCGUAAACGAUACCAUCCAGCGAUCCGGCGGCGGUAUUUUUGCCUCGCCGGGGAGCUUUCCGGAAACGAAAGACUUCCGGUUCCGGGGGUAGUAUGGUUGCAAAGCUGCUUCUUAAAGGAAUUGACGGAAUCGCGGCACCAGGAGGGGAGCCUGCGGCUUAAUUUGACUCAACACGGGAAAACUCACCCGGCCCGAACACUGUAAGGAUUGUCAGACUGAAAGCUCUUAAGCGAUUCGGUGGUUGGUGGUGCAUGCCCGUUCUUAGUGGGAGGAGCGAUUUGUCUGGUUUAUUCCGAUCACGAGAGAGACGCACGCCUACUCAAUCCGACCCGAGUAAGUUCGCUCGGUGUCGUUCGUAGAGGAAUGGGCGGUAUAGAACCGCAUGAAAGUGCGCAAUAACAGGUCUGUGAUGCCCUUAGAUGUCAGGGGCUGCACGCGUGCCACACGGGGGUCUGCAACGGCUCCAUGGCCGAAAGGUCAUUGGUGAACGGUCGAAAUGACUCCGUGAUCGGGAUCGGGAAUUGCAACUAUUUCCCUUGAUCGAGGAAUGCCUCGUG